rnacentral:rRNA from 1 species
CAGCCGCCACGGGAAUACAGAGGGUGCGAGCGUUAAUCGGAUUUACUGGGCGUAAAGCGUGCGUAGGCGGCUAAUUGAGUCGGAUGUGAAAUCCCCGAGCUUAACUUGGGAAUUGCAUUUGAUACUGGUUAGCUAGAGUGUGGGAGAGGAUGGUAGAAUUCCAGGUGUAGCGGUGAAAUGCGUAGAGAUCUGGAGGAAUACCGAUGGCGAAGGCAGCCAUCUGGCCUAACACUGACGCUGAGGUACGAAAGCAUGGGGAGCAAACAGGAUUAGAUACCCCCGUAGUCCCUGUCUCUUAUAC